rnacentral:rRNA from 1 species
UACGGAGGGUGCAAGCGUUAUCCGGAUUCACUGGGUUUAAAGGGUGCGUAGGUGGGUCUGUAAGUCAGUGGUGAAAUCUCCGAGCUUAACUCGGAAACUGCCGUUGAUACUAUAGAUCUUGAAUAUCGCGUAGGUAAGCGGAAUAUGUCAUGUAGCGGUGAAAUGCUUAGAUAUGACAUAGAACACCAAUUGCGAAGGCAGCUUACUUCACGAUCAUUGACACUGAGGCACGAAAGCGUGGGGAGCAAACAGG